rnacentral:rRNA from 1 species
AUGCGGCCAGUGUGCGUUGGCCUCAGUGCGUGCACUGCAAUUCAGAAUCGGAUGGAGAAGAACAAGAGGUGGUCGGGUAGUGAGGACGCCGGACCCGGCGGCCAGCGCGGCGGGGAAUCGCCAAUCGCUGAUACUAGUUGGGCCACGCCUGGGGCUACAGCCCCAGUUGCCCCAGGCCCAGAAAUAGGGGGCUGCACGAAAUUGCAAUCCUUGAAGACAAACAACAACAACAUGCUAGAUGCGAGCAACAAUAACCUCACUGGUGUGUUACCACGGCAACUCGGGAAGUUGGAGAUGCUGGAAUUUCUGAAUUUAUCACAUAAUCAGUUUAGUGGCAGCAUCCCAUCAUCCUUUGCGAGCAUGAGAAAACCACAAGAAAGUGUUACCACUGAAUCAAGGGACCUAUUCUCUGUUUGGAAUUUUGAUGGAAGAUUAGCAUUUGACGAUAUUGGAAGUCUCCACAGGACAUUGGAAAAUGAGGUGCUAGCAAAGGAAUUGGAUUGGCAGAAGAGAAUUGCUAUUGCAAAUGAUGUGGCUGAGGCAGUAUCUUAUUUGCACCAUGAAUGCACUCCACCUAUAAUACAUCGAGAUAUCACAAGCAAUAACAUCUUACUUGAUACAUCCUUGAAGGCUUUUGUCUCAGAUUUUGGCACAGCAAGGAUUCUUAAGCCCGAUUCAUCAAACUGGAGUGCACUAGCAGGAACAUAUGGCUACAUUGCUCCUGAAAUGGCAUACACAUCUGUUGUGAGUGAGAAAUGUGACUUCUAUAGCUUUGGCGUGGUUCUGCUAGAGUUAGUGGUGGGCAAGCAUCCAAGGGCUCUAUUAGAUGAUAGCUCAAGCGGGGAACAAGAUGUGAUGGUGAAAGAUAUUCUAGACCAGCGGCCGACAACACCAAAAAGAACAUAA